GGGUUGUGAGGUUAAGCGACUAAGCGUACACGGUGGAUGCCCUGGCAGUCAGAGGCGAUGAAGGGCGUGCUAAUCUGCGAUAAGCGCCGGUAAGGUGAUAUGAACCGUUAUAACCGGCGAUACCCGAAUGGGGAAACCCAGUGUGAUUCGUCACACUAUCAUUAACUGAAUCCAUAGGUUAAUGAGGCGAACCGGGGGAACUGAAACAUCUAAGUACCCCGAGGAAAAGAAAUCAACCGAGAUUCCCCCAGUAGCGGCGAGCGAACGGGGAGGAGCCCAGAGCCUGAAUCAGCAUGUGUGUUAGUGGAAGCGUCUGGAAAGGCGCGCGAUACAGGGUGACAGCCCCGUACACAAAAGCGCAUGUGCUGUGAGCUCGAUGAGUAGGGCGGGACACGUGGUAUCCUGUCUGAAUAUGGGGGGACCAUCCUCCAAGGCUAAAUACUCCUGACUGACCGAUAGUGAACCAGUACCGUGAGGGAAAGGCGAAAAGAACCCCGGCGAGGGGAGUGAAAAAGAACCUGAAACCGUGUACGUACAAGCAGUGGGAGCACCCUUUGGGGUGUGACUGCGUACCUUUUGUAUAAUGGGUCAGCGACUUAUAUUCUGUAGCAAGGUUAACCGUAUAGGGGAGCCGGAGGGAAACCGAGUCUUAAUUGGGCGUUAAGUUGCAGGGUAUAGACCCGAAACCCGGUGAUCUAGCCAUGGGCAGGUUGAAGGUUGGGUAACACUAACUGGAGGACCGAACCGACUAAUGUUGAAAAAUUAGCGGAUGACCUGUGGCUGGGGGUGAAAGGCCAAUCAAACCGGGAGAUAGCUGGUUCUCCCCGAAAGCUAUUUAGGUAGCGCCUCGUGAAUUCAUCUCCGGGGGUAGAGCACUGUUUCGGCUAGGGGGCCAUCCCGGCUUACCAACCCGAUGCAAACUGCGAAUACCGGAGAAUGUUAUCACGGGAGACACACGGCGGGUGCUAACGUCCGUCGUGAAGAGGGAAACAACCCAGACCGCCAGCUAAGGUCCCAAAGUCAUGGUUAAGUGGGAAACGAUGUGGGAAGGCCCAGACAGCCAGGAUGUUGGCUUAGAAGCAGCCAUCAUUUAAAGAAAGCGUAAUAGCUCACUGGUCGAGUCGGCCUGCGCGGAAGAUGUAACGGGGCUAAACCAUGCACCGAAGCUGCGGCAGCGACACUGUGUGUUGUUGGGUAGGGGAGCGUUCUGUAAGCCUGUGAAGGUGUGUCGUGAGGCAUGCUGGAGGUAUCAGAAGUGCGAAUGCUGACAUAAGUAACGAUAAAGCGGGUGAAAAGCCCGCUCGCCGGAAGACCAAGGGUUCCUGUCCAACGUUAAUCGGGGCAGGGUGAGUCGACCCCUAAGGCGAGGCCGAAAGGCGUAGUCGAUGGGAAACGGGUUAAUAUUCCCGUACUUGGUGUUACUGCGAAGGGGGGACGGAGAAGGCUAUGUUGGCCGGGCGACGGUUGUCCCGGUUUAAGCGUGUAGGCUGGUUUUCCAGGCAAAUCCGGAAAAUCAAGGCUGAGGCGUGACGACGAGGCACUACGGUGCUGAAGCAACAAAUGCCCUGCUUCCAGGAAAAGCCUCUAAGCAUCAGGUAACACGAAAUCGUACCCCAAACCGACACAGGUGGUCAGGUAGAGAAUACCAAGGCGCUUGAGAGAACUCGGGUGAAGGAACUAGGCAAAAUGGUGCCGUAACUUCGGGAGAAGGCACGCUGACAUGUAGGUGAAGUGAUUUACUCAUGGAGCUGAAGUCAGUCGAAGAUACCAGCUGGCUGCAACUGUUUAUUAAAAACACAGCACUGUGCAAACACGAAAGUGGACGUAUACGGUGUGACGCCUGCCCGGUGCCGGAAGGUUAAUUGAUGGGGUCAGCGCAAGCGAAGCUCCUGAUCGAAGCCCCGGUAAACGGCGGCCGUAACUAUAACGGUCCUAAGGUAGCGAAAUUCCUUGUCGGGUAAGUUCCGACCUGCACGAAUGGCGUAAUGAUGGCCAGGCUGUCUCCACCCGAGACUCAGUGAAAUUGAACUCGCUGUGAAGAUGCAGUGUACCCGCGGCAAGACGGAAAGACCCCGUGAACCUUUACUAUAGCUUGACACUGAACAUUGAGCCUUGAUGUGUAGGAUAGGUGGGAGGCUUUGAAGCGUGGACGCCAGUCUGCGUGGAGCCGACCUUGAAAUACCACCCUUUAAUGUUUGAUGUUCUAACGUGGACCCGUAAUCCGGGUUGCGGACAGUGUCUGGUGGGUAGUUUGACUGGGGCGGUCUCCUCCUAAAGAGUAACGGAGGAGCACGAAGGUUGGCUAAUCCUGGUCGGACAUCAGGAGGUUAGUGCAAUGGCAUAAGCCAGCUUGACUGCGAGCGUGACGGCGCGAGCAGGUGCGAAAGCAGGUCAUAGUGAUCCGGUGGUUCUGAAUGGAAGGGCCAUCGCUCAACGGAUAAAAGGUACUCCGGGGAUAACAGGCUGAUACCGCCCAAGAGUUCAUAUCGACGGCGGUGUUUGGCACCUCGAUGUCGGCUCAUCACAUCCUGGGGCUGAAGUAGGUCCCAAGGGUAUGGCUGUUCGCCAUUUAAAGUGGUACGCGAGCUGGGUUUAGAACGUCGUGAGACAGUUCGGUCCCUAUCUGCCGUGGGCGCUGGAGAACUGAGGGGGGCUGCUCCUAGUACGAGAGGACCGGAGUGGACGCAUCACUGGUGUUCGGGUUGUCAUGCCAAUGGCACUGCCCGGUAGCUAAAUGCGGAAGAGAUAAGUGCUGAAAGCAUCUAAGCACGAAACUUGCCCCGAGAUGAGUUCUCCCUGAGACUUAAAGUCUCCUGAAGGAACGUUGAAGACGACGACGUUGAUAGGCCGGGUGUGUAAGCGCAGCGAUGCGUUGAGCUAACCGGUACUAAUGAACCGUGAGGCUUAACCUUACAACGCCGAAG
rnacentral:rRNA from 3 species